CAAGUUAGAGCUUGAUGUAAGCGUUUUAUUUACACUAAAAAGUUAAUUGUGAGAAUCAAUUUAAUUUGA
rnacentral:tRNA from 1 species